AGUCCUGUAGCUUAGUGGUCAGAGCACUCGCCUUGUAAGCGAGUGGACCUGGGUUAGAUUCCUGGCAGGGCAA